rnacentral:rRNA from 1 species
GACGAACGCUGGCGGCGUGCUUAACACAUGCAAGUCGAACGGAAAGGCCCUGCUUUUGUGGGGUGCUCGAGUGGCGAACGGGUGAGUAACACGUGAGUAACCUGCCCUUGACUUUGGGAUAACUUCAGGAAACUGGGGCUAAUACCGGAUAGGAGCUCCUGCUGCAUGGUGGGGGUUGGAAAGUUUCGGCGGUUGGGGAUGGACUCGCGGCUUAUCAGCUUGUUGGUGGGGUAGUGGCUUACCAAGGCUUUGACGGGUAGCCGGCCUGAGAGGGUGACCGGCCACAUUGGGACUGGGAUACGGCCCAGACUCAUACGGGAGGCAGCAGUGGGGAAUAUUGCACAAUGGGCGGAAGCCUGAUGCAGCAACGCCGCGUGCGGGAUGACGGCCUUCGGGUUGUAAACCGCUUUCGCCUGUGACGAAGCGUGAGUGACGGUAAUGGGUAAAGAAGCACCGGCUAACUACGUG